rnacentral:rRNA from 1 species
UACGUAGGGAGCGAGCGUUAUUCGGAAUUACUGGGCGUAAAGCGUGCGCAGGCGGUUUUCCAAGUCCGUUGUGAAAGCCCCGGGCUCAACCUGGGAAUGGCAGUGGAAACUAGGGGACUGGAAUCUGGCAGAGGGGGGUAGAAUUCCACGUGUAGCAGUGAAAUGCGUAGAUAUGUGGAGGAACACCGAUGGCGAAGGCAGCCCCCUGGGUCAAAACUGACGCUCAUGCACGAAAGCGUGGGGAGCAAACAGG